rnacentral:rRNA from 1 species
AUUGAACGCUGGCGGCAGGCCUAACACAUGCAAGUCGAGCGGAUGAAGGGAGCUUGCUCCUGGAUUCAGCGGCGGACGGGUGAGUAAUGCCUAGGAAUCUGCCUGGUAGUGGGGGAUAACGUCCGGAAACGGGCGCUAAUACCGCAUACGUCCUGAGGGAGAAAGUGGGGGAUCUUCGGACCUCACGCUAUCAGAUGAGCCUAGGUCGGAUUAGCUAGUUGGUGGGGUAAAGGCCUACCAAGGCGACGAUCCGUAACUGGUCUGAGAGGAUGAUCAGUCACACUGGAACUGAGACACGGUCCAGACUCCUAAGGGAGGCAGCAGUGGGGAAUAUUGGACAAAGGGCGAAAGCCUGAUCCAGCAAUGCCGCGUGUGUGAAGAAGAUCUUCGGAUUGUAAAGCACUUUAAGUUGGGAGGAAGGGCAGUAAGUUAAUACCUUGCUGUUUUGACGUUACCAACAGAAUAAGCACCGGCUAACUACGUG